CGGCGACCGGCGCACGGGUGCGUAACGCGUAUGCAACCUACCCAUUACAGGGGGAUAACACUGAGAAAUUGGUACUAAUACCCCAUAACAUCACCGGAGGCAUCUUCGGUGGUUGAAAACUCAGGUGGUCAGAGAUGGACAUGCGUUGUAUUAGCUAGUUGGUGAGGUAACGGCUCACCAAGGCGACGAUACAUAGGGGGACUGAGAGGUCAACCCCCCACAUUGGUACUGAGACACGGACCAAACUCCUACGGAAGGCAGCAG
rnacentral:rRNA from 1 species